UACAGAGGGUGCGAGCGUUGUCCGGAAUUACUGGGCGUAAAGGGCGCGUAGGCGGCUUGGUAAGUAGGGGGUGAAAUCUUGCGGCUCAACUGCAAGGCUGCCUCCUAGACUGCCGGGCUUGAGCACGGUAGAGGCAGAUGGAAUUCCCGGUGUAGCGGUGGAAUGCGUAGAGAUCGGGAAGAACAUCGGUGGCGAAGGCGAUCUGCUGGGCCGGUGCUGACGCUGAGGCGCGACAGCGUGGGGAGCAAACAGG
rnacentral:rRNA from 1 species